UGUCAAAAGCCGUGAGUACAAAAAAACUAGAUGAAUGAGAAGCAGAAAAACAUCCACGUUUGAAGAUCACUCCUAUUCCGUAGUGUUUAUUCCCUUAAUAGUUCUAAAUAAUACUCGCCAAAUUUUGUGAAUUUAUAGUGGCAGAGAGGACCUAGAACUUACAUGCAAAUUAGCGCACAAAAGUGCCUAACCUAAGUGUAUACUAAAUCUACAUCUUUCAUUGAACCUAUACCGCUCCAUCAUAACCAUAAGACCCUUAUUACCCGCCGAAACUGAACUAGGGGAACUAAACGUAAGUAAUUAUAUGUUGACAACACCGCAACAAAAUUUGUUAUCUACCUUACACAGAGCAUAAUUUGCUACCAA